AUGCGACCAUGGUCAGGGAGCUUGCAACAACGCUCACUGGAUGCUGCCAUGACGACCACCACGUGCUGGAACCAUGGCCAGCGCAUGCUACCACGGCCACUUGAGGAUGCUAUGUCCACGACCUCUUCAGGAUUGCUACCACGGCCAAUUCAGGAUGCUACCACGACGACGACGGCUAGAUUUUGCAUCCACGACCACCACGUGCUGGAACCAGCAAGCUAUUUUGCUGGCACCGGUGACAUGUGGAGCUACAAUGAUGAUCUCUUUUGCUGGAAGCAGCGAGCAUAUUUGCUGGAAACGGCGAGCUAUUUUGCUACAAGCCUACAACCGGCAAACUGGGAUGUUACGUCGGGCGAGAACGAGAUGUUGGUGACCAGCGAGGUGCUACGACCGGCAAGCCAAGAGCUAUGA
rnacentral:rRNA from 1 species